rnacentral:lncRNA from 1 species
CAUGGGGGAAAAAAAAAACAGAACCUCAAAAUUAAAGAUCAAUCUAUGGAAUUUUUUUUCUUCAAGUUAGACUAAUCUCUUUUCUUGUUAGUCAUUCUGAUAAUACAGCUCUCUAAAGUCAUAUUUCAGGUUUCCCAAAACUUUUAUUGGAAAAUUAAUAGUUUUAUGUCCCAACUGAUGUUGAUAGGUAUGAUUGAGAGUAUGUCUAAAUUUCUCUGUUUAUUGCAUGUCCUUGUUUCUAGAUGGUAAACACAGGCAUUGAGCUGCCAGAUACUUGGUGUGUAAUAAAAUGUCAACAAGUUGAGGUAGUGAGGCUCUCCAUAAUAAAGAGAUUACUUGCUAUAUGCUUGUUAGUGUUAAGUGCAAAGGUAAGGUGCAGUCCCUACCCUCAGAAAGUUGUUUUAAAAUACUAAAUGUAUUAUGUUUCUAAAAGCAUACUAUUUUGGAAAAGACUUUGAAAGCUUUAGUUCUAACUUACACUUUUAGGAAGAUCCAGAUCUAAGGAAUUUCAAACUCAAAUGUAAAAUGUAGUAUUGCAUGUCAUAAAACCAGUUUUUUCUUUAUAUAGUAUGUGACUUUUUUCUCCAUGACUGGCUACAGAAGGAAGCUAUUUGCACUACUAUCAAUAGGACCCUCAGACCUUUAUAAUCAAAACUCAAGUAAUAAUUAGGUUUAAUAGAGAGUUUUGUAUACCAUGGCCAUCCCUGUUUAUUUCUAAGUUAUAUAUAUGAUAUUCAUACUUAUAUAUUAGUUCAUUGUCCAUACUGUGAUGUCUUUUGAAAACAAUAGCAUCCAGUGGACUAAGGUACAACUUUCAAGGGCACUUUGUCUUAGGUUCUUUCUUCCUUCUCUACACAUUGUGACUUGUAGAAUGGGUAGCUGCUGGGAAGUUUUCCCUGCAAGAACUUGACGUGGAAAAUUUCUGAUUGCAUCAUUUCCAAAUCAUCUUUUUUCUUGGCUAUAAAUUUCAAAAAUUGUUAAACAUCUUAAUGUUCUUUGGCAUCACACCAUUAUUAUUUUCACUGAAAUGAUGACUAUCUUGUUUAACCAUUAAUACCUUUGAAGCCAGAGAUGUUCCAUUGGAGAAACUAAUUCAAAUUUAAACAUUUGCUAAAAAAAAAAAUAAUAAGUAUUUCUACUUCUUUUAUGAUAAUUUGCUUUUUUAUUUUCUUCUACAUGCUGUGUACAUCCUUGUUCCUAUUUAAUUUAGAUUCUAUGUCCACUAGACUAUACACCCUUCAGUGCUUGUGUCCUGAGUUAUAUUAAGUAAAUAGCUACUUGGUAAGUUCUAAGUAUUGGUUUUUAAUUGUUUCUUCAGGAGUUGUUGCAGCAACAUUCUUUCUAAAUUGCUACUUUUGGCUCUUCAGGAAAAAGUGACAUUUUAAUUAUAAAUGAUACACAAAAGCAAAACUAUAGACAGAGCUCCUUUGGGCUUGUUUUGGGGGUUUCAUGUUUGUUUUGUUUUGCUUUGUUUUAAUAAAGACAGGGUCUUGCUAUAUUUCCCAGGCUGGUCUUGAACUCCUGGCCUCAAAAUAUCCUCCCACUUCAACCACCAAAGUGUUGAGACUACAGGCAUGAGCCACUGCACCCAAACACCAUCAUUUUUUACAGAAAGAACUUUAUAUGUAAAUUAUGUAAAAUCAUAGCCUUUAAAUAUACCCAUCUCUCACCUCCUCUUCUCGGUGUUAUAAAAUACUAUUACCUGGUGAAAUCGACAUUGUACAGUGGUUAUGGAUUGUAUUCCUAAUGCACAAGAUGAAAACAUGUCAAAAGCACUCCCUUUUUUAUGGGUGUGUGGUUAGCCUAGAAGAAAUACAUUUCCUGAACUGUCUCCAACGAAAUUAGUGAACUUUUAACUCCACAGUUGCAUAUGUCCUGGAUAUUUAUUUGAGUUUUUCCUUUUAAGGAAUCAGAAGAAAGCUCUUCCUUAGCACAUGCAGAGUCACAAAUACUGUAACACAGGGGAAAAGAUACUGGUAUAGGAUUAGGGGACCCUGAGUUUUAAACACAAAAUUGAGGCUCAGAUUAUCUGGUGAAGUAGUUUUAUGUACUUGGAUUAUGAGAAAUGAGUCUGAUUUUAGCUCAACAUCCCAAAAUAGUAAUAGGCCCUAUUCCACGAUAAUAAAGUCCUCAAUAUACUGUACAACUUCUGCUUUGAC